rnacentral:rRNA from 1 species
UACGAAGGGGGCUAGCGUUGUUCGGAAUCACUGGGCGUAAAGGGCGCGUAGGCGGCUUUAUAAGUCGGGGGUGAAAGCCUGUGGCUCAACCACAGAAUUGCCUUCGAUACUGUAGAGCUUGAGACCGGAAGAGGUAAGUGGAACUGCGAGUGUAGAGGUGAAAUUCGUAGAUAUUCGCAAGAACACCAGUGGCGAAGGCGGCUUACUGGUCCGGUUCUGACGCUGAGGCGCGAAGGCGUGGGGAGCAAACAGG